AACGAACGCUGGCGGCAUGCCUAACACAUGCAAGUCGAACGAGACCUUCGGGUCUAGUGGCGCACGGGUGCGUAACGCGUGGGAACCUGCCCUUAGGUUCGGAAUAACUCCCCGAAAGGGGUGCUAAUACCGGAUAAUGUCUUCGGACCAAAGAUUUAUCGCCUUUGGAUGGGCCCGCGUUGGAUUAGCUAGUUGGUAGGGUAAAAGCCUACCAAGGCGACGAUCCAUAGCUGGUCGUAGAGGAUGAUCAGCCACACUGGGACUGAGACACGGCCCAGACUCCUACGGGAGGCAGCAGUGGGGACUAUUGGACAACGGGCGAAAGCCUGAUCCAGCAAUGCCGCGUGAGUGAUGAAGGCCUUAGGGUUGUAAAGCUCUUUUAACCGGGAUGAUAAUGACAGUACCGGGAGAAUAAGCGCCGGCUAACUCCGUG
rnacentral:rRNA from 1 species